AUUAACUCCACACAACCUAGUCUCCUAUAUAUAUUCUCAAGCAUUUCAAUAACUCAAAACAUCCAAAGUUACAGACUUCUCUCUCUCGUUGAUCAUCUAGCCUUCUAAUUAAGAAACCUUCUUAGUUGUCUUGCUCCUAAUAUAUAUUCUCAAGAUGGGAUUCAGUUUAGCUGCAAAGAUUCUCCGACGUUCAUCUUCAUAAGGAAGAAAUGACGACAUGACAGUCAUUCCCAAAGGACAUUUAGCAGUUUAUGUCGGUUGUUGUGUUAGCCUACCAGCGAGCCUCGUGGGUAAUAACCUAGCCAAAUGAGCCGAAGCGGAUGAGGGCUGAGAUUGUGUCACAAGAAGGCAAACUAACUCUACCUUCCAUGUUAAUUUCUGUAAUAUUACGUCAUUGGGGACUCGAACCUGAGACCUCCUGAAACGCAUGAAAUUUUGGGGAACGAGGAUGACCAGCUGAGCUAGGUGCCCGUUCUAAGCCGAGCAGAGGAAGACUACGGAUUUGAUCAUCCAAGGGGUGGUCUUACAAUCCCUUGCGAUGAAGACACAUUCAUUGAUCUCACUUCUGGAUUAAACGGUUUUUAAUCAAACAAAUUAAAUUGAGAUGUCUCUCCAAUUUUGCAACUUUAGGCCAUUCAUUAAUUAGAUCUUGCGUGAAUAUUUACUUACUUGAAUUAAUUGUUACAUUUCUCAAUGAGAAGGAACACUGGUAUUGUUCCGAAGUUUUGCCUCUUUUAUGAAAAAAAAAAAUAGGAACACUUUGACGGUACUCAAAUUCUUUUCUUUUAUUCAUUGCGUAUUUUAUAGUGCACGAAUGAUCUUACGUGCUCUUAUCAAAUACUUGAUAAAUUGACUGAAAAUACUAAAAAAAGAUUGAUAUCCACGCAAAGUGAUACAUAUUUAGAGCAAGUCUUAUGGUGGAAUCCAACUUAUUGCAAACCUGGAAAAAGCGUGCAAUGUCAAGCAAAAUGGAUUCCAAGUUGGUGUCAUCCACAUUUUUUUCAAGCCAUGUUUUAUGACUUUGUGGAAUGAUGUAUGGAAUCCAAAGAAAUGUUAUUAAGAAUAGUUUUUUUUUUACUUUUGGCAUAAGUCAAACACAAAAAAGUCAUUUUUAAUUUCAACCAUGUAAACAUAUUCUAGUCAAAUACCAUUGACCAAGUCUUUUUUAGUUUUUUUAUGAUUCCAUCAUAAGACUUGAGCUUCCAUAAACAAUUCCAAAUUUUAAAUAUACUCCUAUCAAAUAAAAGAGGUCAAAUCUUAUUAUAAUAAAGAAAAGGCCGACUUUUCGACCGUCUGAAAAUUUGGUGAAGCCUUUCACCAUAUUACAAAAAUACCUUCAGGACGGAUACACGGGGUUGAAGGAAAAGUCAAGCCAAAAGUCAUGCGACGCUGACUAAGUCAAACGGAAAAAUUCUCGAUCCCCUUUGCUUCAAUCCAGUUUUUUCUUUGAAAAUCUUUCAUUCUUAUCAUGUUCUGCUGAUAAUUUAGCUACUUUUACAUACUUUUUUGAUCACGUUUGAUUAGUUUUUGUUUUCAAUUCGAAAAUUUUGGGUUAGACCUUACUUUUUAGGUUUUUUAUAAAUUUGAUCUCUCAAAAUCAAUUUCUUUUUUGAUGAUUUUACUCUGCUUUUAAUCCUGUAAAUCGGUUUUAUUUCCUGAUUAUUUGUAUAAUCUGUUUGUUGUGAAAGGUUUCUCUUUUUUGUUUCUAUUUUAGGUCAUUGGAUUACGAAGGAGCUGAAGUAGGAUUUUUAUCCAUCAUCAUGAGAACUUUGGGGAACAGGGGUUUUAAGAGGCGCGGUUUUUAUUAAAGAUAAGGUUGCCAUCUAAGAGGGCAUAAAUCAAUAUUUUCAUUUAAUUGUUCGUAUAAGAGUUGCAUCGUGAAGUGAAGAACAAACUGGGUACCAUUUAUUUGAUGAAGAAUUUAUUUUUUCAAUAUUGGAGAUCCUACUGUUUCAGUAGGGAUUAGAAUAUGAUACUGUUUCUGUCUAUUGGUUUAAAGAAUUUUUGGGGGUAAUACAAGUUAAGAGUGGUCUGUUAGGUUAUCUCAGUAUGAAGAUGCUUAAGUCUCUUUAAGUUAUCAUGAGUUAUCUGCUGGUUAGAGUUGAUAUUCUAAGCUUAGCUCUAUGCAGUGCUUCUUUUGAUGCAUCAAAAACAGUGUUACUUUAUUUUAAUUCAAUUUAUGAAUUACUUUUUUUCCUUA